rnacentral:rRNA from 1 species
CCCUUAGACGUUCUGGGCCGCACGCGCGCUACACUGACGAAGGCAACGAGCUUUCCUUUACCGAAAGGUACGGGUAAUCUUUUGAAACUUCGUCGUGCUGGGGAUAGAUCCUUGCAAUUUUUGAUCUUAAACGAGGAAUGCCUAGUAAGCGCAAGUCAUCAACUUGCGUUGAUUACGUCCCUGCCCUUUGUACACACCGCCCGUCGCUACUACUGAUUGGAUGUUUAAGCGAGGUUCUCGAACUGCUAGCGACUUAGCUUCGGUGAGGUCGCAGUGUGGGAAGUGAACCUAGCUUUGGUGUCUAGAGGAAGUAAAAGUCGUAACA